rnacentral:lncRNA from 1 species
CUACCUGUGCUUGUAUGUUUGUUUGACUUGCUUCCUGUGCAAGUUAGGUUUAGUUUAGACUAAUCCUUGUUUGCUUUCGCCCUCGUUGCGAUCCUUUCUUUCGCCCUCGUUGCGAUCCUUUCUCUCGCCCUCGUUGCGAUCGAGCCUUUUCCUUUCUCUCGCCCUCGUUGUGAUCGAGCCUUUUCCUUUCUCUCGCCCUCGUUGCGAUCGAG